AUGACUUCCUGAGAGGUGGCCGGAUUCUCAUGACCUGGCGUGUGUGUUGGGUGGGCGGGCCUGAGCGUUAUCUGCGUAACCUAGUUUUGCACCCUGAGAACACGUGCUCCUCAUUUCAGCUCAUCUCAGAGAAGACGGCCUGGUUUCAGUUCUUCACUCCGUUAGCUAUUCUCUCUCGUCAUCUGUAACACUGAGAUAAACAUCCAACGGUUCACUGCUCCCCUUUUCAGCCCGUUGUUCAAUCAAAGUGGAAAAACGACAAAAUAAGGAAUAGGCUGCUGUUUGUCCCCUUCAACUCCAUCCAUACUGAAGCAGUAACUAUUCCAACGAUGCAUGGACACUAUGGGCUGAUCCACACAUACCUGGCUGAUUGUGAGGUGUGAUGGUUCUCAGCUGGUGGGUGGUGGAUGGGACAGACAUACCUGGCUGAUUGUGAGGUGUGAUGGUUCUCAGCUGGUGGGUGGUGGAUGGGACAGACAUACCUGGCUGAUUGUGAGGUGUGAUGGUUCUCAGCUGGUGGGUGGUGGAUGGGACAGACAUACCUGGCUGAUUGUGAGGUGUGAUGGUUCUCAGCUGGUGGGUGGUGGAUGGGACAGACAUACCUGGCUGAUUGUGAGGUGUGAUGGUUCUCAGCUGGUGGGUGGUGGAUGGGACAGACAUACCUGGCUGAUUGUGAGGUGGGAUGAUUCUCAGCUGGUGGAUGGGACAGAC
rnacentral:lncRNA from 1 species